UACGUAGGGGGCGAGCGUUGUCCGGAAUCAUUGGGCGUAAAGCGCGUGUAGGCGGCUUGGUAAGUCAGACGUGAAAUCCCUCAGCUUAACUGGGGAACUGCGUCUGAUACUGGCGGGCUUGAGGACAGGAGAGGAACGCGGAAUUCCAGGUGUAGCGGUGAAAUGCGUAGAUAUCUGGAGGAACACCGGUGGCGAAGGCGGGUUGCUGGGCCGACACUGACGCUGAUGCGCGAAAGCCAGGGGAGCGAACGGG
rnacentral:rRNA from 1 species